CGCAAAUGAAAUAUCAAGGAUCUUCUUUUAAUUUCUAAACCCUAAUUCGUGGUACUUGUUCUAUAUAUAAUCCGCGGAAGCGCUGAACCCUAGCCGUUGCGCCCGAUUUUAGGUGACUGAAGCCUGCUUCUUUGUUCUUAGCUAAUUCAAUUUUGUUUUAGCAAAGAAGGUGAAUGUCUCCAUCUGAAUGGUCUUACUGAGUUCUAAGAGAGAAUUGUUAGUCUUUUCUUGGUGCUCGAGAUGGCUUGUUAUGAUUUAAUUGACGUUGGCUCUAUAUAUUUGCCAAUGUCUGGUGUAAUAGAAUUUUCUUUUGGCCUGUGAUGUAAUUUAAUGCACGUAUUAUCAGAUAACUGAUAUGAUGAUACCUUAUUGUCACUACCUCUGAGGCCUAAGAAGAUUUUCAAGACACAAAAUAGGACAAAGAUCUAUGUGUGGUUCUAUGUUGUAACAAUGGGUAUUCCUCUGCCAUAAGUGAAGGUGUUAAUAAAAAUUUGAGGUGGCGUACUCUUUCAUUAAAAAGAA